UGAACAUCCUGCAUAGUGCUGCC
rnacentral:miRNA from 15 species